CGGUACCUCAGAUGGAAAUGCAGAAAUCACCCGAGGAUUGCACCCCCUGCCUUUUUUUGUUUUCCAUUUGCUUGGUAGAUCUUCCUCCAUCCUUUUAUUUUGAGCCUAUGUGUGUCUCUGCAGUAAUCCACAGCCAGGUGAGUGUUUCCAGGGGAGUCCCAUCUCAAACUGGUGUACCAACCCCUGUGACUCAGUAACACAGUCACUAGAUAGGCAUGCCACAGAAAUACAAACUACCAUCAGAGAAUACUACANNNNNNNNNNAGCACUCCAGACACAUAACUGUCAGAUUCACCACAGUUGAAAUGAAGGAAAAAAUGUUAAGGGCAGCCAGAGAGAAAGGUCAGGUUACCCACAAAGGGAAGCCCAUCAGACUAACAGCUGAUCUCUCAGCAGAAACUCUACAAGCCAGAAGAGAGUGGGGGCCAGUAUUCAACAUUCAUAAAGAAAAGAAU
rnacentral:lncRNA from 1 species